UAAAAAGAAGCUUUUAGAAGUAAUAUACUUUUAAUAUAUUGAAGAAUAAAAUUUUAUUCCUUUUUUC
rnacentral:tRNA from 1 species